GCCUGGGUGGCUCAGUCGGUUAAGCAUCUGACUUCAGCCCAGGUCAUAUCUCAUGGUUCGUGAGUUUGAGCCCCGCUUCGGGCU
rfam:Felis catus isolate Cinnamon breed Abyssinian chromosome A1, whole genome shotgun sequence.